AUGUGAAAAUGGGUGGUGCAACUAACAUAUAAUUUUCCAUUGGGCCAAAUAUCGUAAGGUCCAAACCCAGAAAAUAACUAGUCCAAACUUGACUUUUGACCCUUUCCAUCGGCAAACCCUAGAACGUUUUCUUCCUCGUCCUUAUAUAAAUUCACCGUCUCAACUCUGCUAUUAAACACAAAUCCAUUAGCUUCCAUUCCAGCAGCCGCGUGAUUUCACACACCUAAUUCCAAAUCGUUUUUCUCUAUUCUCAUGUUUGUUUAAUUUUGCUGCAUAUGUUGAUGAUUUAGAAUAAUUCAUGGAUGCGUGCACAAUAAGCCGAUGAUCUGGAUUUGAAAAUGAAGGAAUCAUGGUUGUGUGCACGCAAAUCGAUAUCGUUAGGUCCGCAUGUCUGCUCUCUCUGAUUUCUGAAUUGAUUUGAGGGCCUGCGAUUUCAGUGCUGUACGUUGCCGAUACUAAUUGGAACUGAAGAUUUUAUGCAUAUGUCUUCUUAAACUUAUGCUUUCAGAAGUUCCUACAUUUCUUAUUUCAUUAAAUCAGUUUCGUUUACCCUUUCGUUUUAUUAUAUAGUGAAUCUUGAACAGGUUUUUAAAUUGUUAUUAUUAUUGUUUGUUUUGCCAAAAUUGAAAUCUUAUACAUUUAAAUGUUACUGUUAUAUAUAUAUUUCUUACAUUUAAAUUUUUUAAAAACAAAAUACUAAUGUAAAUAGACUAUAAAUAUGAAGUAAACUGUAUUUUUACUAUUAAAACAAUAAAACAAAAUGAAUUUCGUUAUCAAGUAAACUACAUUUUUUGAAAAUUGAAAUGCGAGUGCAUAUGAUGUUUUACACUUGAUCUCUGAAACUCAGGUAAGUUAAUGUUGACAAGUUUACUAGCUGAUGCUUCUUCUUCGCAAUUUGUUAUCAAUCUAUAAAUGGAUUUAAACUUCCCGAACUAUAUUGUUCAUGUGGGUUAAGAUUAGGGAUAUUGUUUUGUUUUAGUAUAAGGAAGUGUUAUUUUUUGUAUAAGCUAUUCACAACUUCGGGAAAGUGGGGAAAGUGGUGCAUGUGCAUAGAUUUCCUUGACCUAACCAAGGCUUACCCAAAGGAUCCUUAUCCAUUAUUGCACAUUGAUAGAUGGAUUGAUGUGGUGUUUGGGUUCCUCCCGCUCAGCUUAAUGGACCUGUAUUCAGGCUACAAUCAAAUAUGAAUGAAUCUGGUAGAUGCUCCCAAGACACUAUUCCUGACCAACAUAAACAAUUAUUAUGAUGAAGUAAUGUCAUUUGGUCUAAAAAAUGCCAGGGCUACGUAUCAAAGGUGUCAUUUGGUCUAAAAAAAUGUUAGGGUUACGUAUCAAAGGUGUAAAAAAAUGCCAUUUGGUCUAAAAAAAAUGCCAGGGUUACGUAUCAAAGGUGGAUGGAUAUGAAGUUUGAUAUGAGGUUUAACCCCAACAAGUUCACCUUUGGGGUACCUGCCAAAAAAUUUCUGUGAUUUAUGAUAACACAUAGAGGAAUAGAGGAGAAUCCAAAAAAAUGCCAGGAAAUCACUAAUUUGAGAAGUCCAUCAUCAAUGAAAGAAGUUCAACAGUUUACCAACAGAUUAGCUGCCUUGUCCCAAUUUCUCUUUUGCUCAGGUGAUAAAUCCAAACAUUUCUUUCUGCCCCACUGAUCUUGGUUCGUUCGAAGGAAAGUUUACCCUUUCCUUUGUAUUUAGCUGUCUUUAAGAAAGAUGUUAGUUUGAUAUUAGUUCAGGACACUGAUGGAGAUGAGAGGUUGGUUUA